CGUAGGUGCAAGCGUUGUCCGGAAUUAUUGGGCGUAAGAGCUCGUAGGCGGUCUGUCGCGUCGGCUGUGAAACUCGGGGCUCAACCCCGAGCCUGCAGUCGAUACGGGCAGACUAGAGUGCUGUAGGGAGACUGGAAUUCCUGGUGUAGCGGUGAAAUGCGCAGAUAUCAGGAGGAACACCGGUGGCGAAGGCGGGUCUCUGGGCAGUAACUGACGCUGAGGAGCGAAAGCGUGGGAGCAAACAGGAUU
rnacentral:rRNA from 1 species